GACCAGUGGCCGAGUUGGUAAGGCCUAGCGAUAAGCGAUAUAGCGAUAUAGCGAUACAGCGUUAAUAUUAAUACUCUAUAUCGUUAGGCGCGGGGGUUCGAUUCCCUCGUUGGCCA